rnacentral:misc_RNA from 1 species
GAUUCACAAAACAUUCUUCAAUGGCUAAUCAUAAGGUUUCUAUUGUGUUUUUAUUUAUGUUAGUUAGUGUAACUAUAUGUUAUGCUUCUUCUAGAGCUCUCCUCAAUCUAGAGGGAGGUCCUGGGUACAAUGUGGGUGGCAACAUUGGCUAUGGUGCAGGGCAUGGUGGUGGUUCCGGAGGCGGUUAUGGGGGAGGUGGAUCUGG